ensembl:misc_RNA Metazoa_SRP Metazoan signal recognition particle RNA
GACAGGUACAAUGGCGCGUGCCUGUAGUCAGCUACUCAGGAGGCUGAGGCAGGAGGAUCACUUGAGCCCAGGAGUCCUCGGCUGUAGUACCCUAUGCUGAUAGGGUGUUCACACUGAGUUCACAUUAAUAUGGUGACCUCCCGGGAGUGAGGGAUCACCAGGCUGCCUAAGGAGGGGUUAACCUGCCCAGGUCAGAAGCAGAACAAGUGAAAACUCCCAUAUUGAUCAGUAGUGGGAUCAUGCCUGUGAAUCACCACUGCACUCCAGCCUGGGCAACAUAGCAAGACCCCAUUUCUU